rnacentral:rRNA from 1 species
GGACCCGACUGCUAUUUGGGUGAGGAUAAGCCAUGCGAGUUGGAUGGGAUACCUAAACUUCCCAUAGCAAACUGCUUAGUAACACAUGAUCAACUUGCCCUAUGGAGAAAAAUAACCUCGGGAAACUGAGGAUAAUGUUUCAUAGUUGAAUAGGCUUGGAAAAGUUUUUCAAUGAAAGGAAUAAGAUAAAUGGUUCUUAUUUGCCAUAGGAUAGGAUCGUGGUCGAUUAUGGUAGUUGGUGAGAUAACGGCUCACCAAGCCGAUAAUCGAUAGGGGCCGUGAGAGCGGGAGCCCCAAGAUGGGUACUGAGACAGCGACCCAGGCCUUACGAGGCGCAGCAGGCGCGAGACCUCCGCAAUACACGAAAGUGUGACGGGGUUACCCAAAGUGUUCUCUUAAGAGCUGUGGCAGGUGAGUAAUGUCCCCUGCUAGAAAGGAGAGGGCAAGGCUGGUGCCAGCCGCCGCGGUAAAACCAGCUCUUCAAGUGGUCGGGAUAAUUAUUGGGCUUAAAGUGUCCGUAGCCGGUUUAGUAAGUUCCUGGUAAAAUCGGGUAGCUUAACUAUCUGCAUGCUAGGAAUACUGCUAUACUAGAGGGCGGGAGAGGUCUGAGGUACUACAGGGGUAGGGGUGAAAUCUUAUAAUCCCUGUAGGACCACCAGUGGCGAAGGCGUCAGACUGGAACGCGCCUGACGGUGAGGGACGAAAGCCAGGGGAGCGAACCGGAUUAGAUACCCGGGUAGUCCUGGCCGUAAACGAUGCAUACUAGGUGAUGGUACGGCCAUGAGCCGUAUCAGUGCCGUAGGGAAACCGUUAAGUGUGCCGCCUGGGAAGUACGGUCGCAAGGCUAAAACUUAA